UACGUAGGGGGCUAGCGUUGUCCGGAAUCAUUGGGCGUAAAGCGCGCGUAGGCGGCCCGGUAAGUCCGCUCUGAAAGUCCAGGGCUCAACCCUGGAAUGCGGGUGGAUACUGCCGGGCUAGAGUCCGGAAGAGGCGAGUGGAAUUCCACGUGUAGCGGUGAAAUGCGUAGAGAUGUGGAGGAACACCAAUGGCGAAGGCAGCCUCUGGGCCAACACUGACGCUCAUGCACGAAAGCGUGGGGAGCAAACAGG
rnacentral:rRNA from 1 species